rnacentral:rRNA from 1 species
AUUGAACGCUGGCGGCAGGCCUAACACAUGCAAGUCGAGCGGUAGAGAGGUGCUUGCAUCUCUUGAGAGCGGCGGACGGGUGAGUAAUGCCUAGGAAUCUGCCUGGUGGUGGGGGAUAACGUUCGGAAACGGACGCUAAUACCGCAUACGUCCUACGGGAGGAAGCGGGGGAUCUUCGGACCUCGCGCCAUUAGAUGAGCCUAGGUCGGAUUAGCUAGUUGGUGAGGUAAUGGCUCACCAAGGCGACGAUCCGUAACUGGUCUGAGAGGAUGAUCAGUCACACUGGAACUGAGACGCGGUCCAGACUCCUACGGGAGGCAGCAGUGGGGAAUAUUGGACAAUGGGCGAAAGCCUGAUCCAGCCAUGCCGCGUGUGUGAAGAAGGUCUUCGGAUUGUAAAGCACUUUAAGUUGGGAGGAAGGGUAGUAACCUAAUACGUU